GCUGGGUGCAGUGGCGCAUGUCUGUAAUCCCAGUGGCUUGGAAGGCUGAGGCAGGAGGAUCACAAGUUGAAAGCCAGCCUCAGCAAAUUAGCAAGGCCCUAAGCAAUUAUUAGUGAGACCCUGUCUCGA
rnacentral:sRNA from 1 species